rnacentral:rRNA from 1 species
AGAGUUUGAUCCUGGCUCAGGAUGAACGCUGGCGGUGUGCCUAAUACAUGCAAGUCGAGCGAACGGACGAGAAGCUUGCUUCUCUGAUGUUAGCGGCGGACGGGUGAGUAACACGUGGAUAACCUACCUAUAAGACUGGGAUAACUUCGGGAAACCGGAGCUAAUACCGGAUAAUAUUUUGAACCGCAUGGUUCAAAAGUGAAAGACGGUCUUGCUGUCACUUAUAGAUGGAUCCGCGCUGCAUUAGCUAGUUGGUAAGGUAACGGCUUACCAAGGCAACGAUGCAUAGCCGACCUGAGAGGGUGAUCGGCCACACUGGAACUGAGACACGGUCCAGACUCCUACGGGAGGCAGCAGUAGGGAAUCUUCCGCAAUGGGCGAAAGCCUGACGGAGCAACGCCGCGUGAGUGAUGAAGGUCUUCGGAUCGUAAAACUCUGUUAUUAGGGAAGAACAUAUGUGUAAGUAACUGUGCACAUCUUGACGGUACCUAAUCAGAAAGCCACGGCUAACUACGUGCCAGCAGCCGCGGUAAUACGUAGGUGGCAAGCGUUAUCCGGAAUUAUUGGGCGUAAAGCGCGCGUAGGCGGUUUUUUAAGUCUGAUGUGAAAGCCCACGGCUCAACCGUGGAGGGUCAUUGGAAACUGGAAAACUUGAGUGCAGAAGAGGAAAGUGGAAUUCCAUGUGUAGCGGUGAAAUGCGCAGAGAUAUGGAGGAACACCAGUGGCGAAGGCGACUUUCUGGUCUGUAACUGACGCUGAUGUGCGAAAGCGUGGGGAUCAAACAGGAUUAGAUACCCUGGUAGUCCACGCCGUAAACGAUGAGUGCUAAGUGUUAGGGGGUUUCCGCCCCUUAGUGCUGCAGCUAACGCAUUAAGCACUCCGCCUGGGGAGUACGACCGCAAGGUUGAAACUCAAAGGAAUUGACGGGGACCCGCACAAGCGGUGGAGCAUGUGGUUUAAUUCGAAGCAACGCGAAGAACCUUACCAAAUCUUGACAUCCUUUGACAACUCUAGAGAUAGAGCUUUCCCCUUCGGGGGACAAAGUGACAGGUGGUGCAUGGUUGUCGUCAGCUCGUGUCGUGAGAUGUUGGGUUAAGUCCCGCAACGAG